CGGGAAAAGGGAAAGGCUUAGUGGCGGACGGGUGAGUAAUGCGUGGGUAACCUGGCCCAUACAGGGGGAUAACACUUAGAAAUAGGUGCUAAUACCGCAUAACAACAGAAAGCGCAUGCUUUUUGUUUGAAAACCAAGGUGGUAUGGGAUGGACCCGCGUCUGAUUAGCUGGUUGGCGGGGUAAAGGCCCACCAAGGCGACGAUCAGAGCCGGCCUGAGAGGGUGGACGGCCACAUUGGGACUGAGACACGGCCCAAACUCCUACGGAAGGCAGCAG
rnacentral:rRNA from 1 species